rnacentral:rRNA from 1 species
UACAGGGGGUGCAAACGUUGCUCGGAAUUAUUGGGCGUAAAGCGCGCGUAGGCGGCUACUUAAGUCGGAUGUGAAAGCCCUUGGCUCAACUGAGGAAGUGCACCCGAAACUGAGUGGCUUGAGUACUAAAGAGGGUCGCGGAAUUCCCGGUGUAGCGGUGAAAUGCGUAGAUAUUGGGAGGAACACCAGUGGCGAAGGCGGCUCACUGGACCGGAACUGACGCUGAGGCGCGAAAGCGUGGGGAGCAAACAGG